AUACGUAGGGUGCAAGCGUUAAUCGGAAUUACUGGGCGUAAAGCGUGCGCAGGCGGUUUUGUAAGACAGAGGUGAAAUCCCCGGGCUCAAACUGGGAACUGCCAUUGUGACUGCAAGGCUGGAGUGCGGCAGAGGGGGAUGGAAUUUCGCGUGUAGGAGUGGAAUGCGUAGAUAUGCGGAGGAACACCGAUGGCGAAGGCAAUCCCCUGGGCCUGCACUGACGCUCAUGCACGAAAGCGUGGGGAGCAAACAGGAUUAGAUACCCUGGUAGUCCACGCCCUAAACGAUGUCAACUGGUUGUUGGGGAUUUAUUUUCUCAGUAACGAAGCUAACGCGUGAAGUUGACCGCCUGGGGAGUACGGCCGCAAGGUUAAAACUUAAAGGAAUUGACGGGG
rnacentral:rRNA from 1 species